rnacentral:rRNA from 1 species
AGUUUGAUCAUGGCUCAGAUUGAACGCUGGCGGCAUGCCUUACACAUGCAAGUCGAACGGCAGCGGGCCUUCGGGGUGCCGGGCGAGUGGCGAACGGGUGAGUAAUGCAUCGGAACGUGCCAUUGAGUGGGGGAUAACGUAGCGAAAGUUACGCUAAUACCGCAUAUUCUGUGAGCAAGAAAGCAGGGGAUCGCAAGACCUUGCGCUCUGGGAGCGGCCGAUGUCGGAUUAGCUAGUUGGUGGGGUAAAGGCCUACCAAGGCGACGAUCCGUAGCGGGUCUGAGAGGAUGAUCCGCCACACUGGGACUGAGACACGGCCCAGACUCCUACGGGAGGCAGCAGUGGGGAAUUUUGGACAAUGGGCGAAAGCCUGAUCCAGCCAUGCCGCGUGAGUGAAGAAGGCCUUCGGGUUGUAAAGCUCUUUCGGUGGGGAAGAAAUUGCAUAGGCUAAUACCCUGUGUAGAUGACGGUACCUGGAGAAGAAGCACCGGCUAACUACGUG